AUACGGAGGAUCCGAGCGUUAUCCGGAUUUAUUGGGUUUAAAGGGUGCGUAGGCGGCCUUUUAAGUCAGCGGUGAAAGUCUGUGGCUCAACCAUAGAAUUGCCGUUGAAACUGGGGGGCUUGAGUAUGUUUGAGGCAGGCGGAAUGCGUGGUGUAGCGGUGAAAUGCAUAGAUAUCACGCAGAACCCCGAUUGUGAAGGCAGCCUGCCAAGCCAUGACUGACGCUGAUGCACGAAAGCGUGGGGAUCAAACAGGAUUAGAUACCCUGGUAGUCCACGCAGUAAACGAUGAUCACUAGUUGUUUGCGAUACACUGUAAGCGGCACAGCGAAAGCGUUAAGUGAUCCACCUGGGGAGUACGCCGGCAACGGUGAAACUCAAAUGAAUUGACGGGG
rnacentral:rRNA from 1 species